UACGUAGGGCGCAAGCGUUAUCCGGAAUUAUUGGGCGUAAAGGGCGCGUAGGCGGCCUGCUAAGUCGAACGUGAAAUCCCUGGGCUCAACCCAGGAACUGCGUCCGAUACUGGUUGGCUUGAAUCCGGGAGAGGGAUGCGGAAUUCCAGGUGUAGCGGUGAAAUGCGUAGAUAUCUGGAGGAACACCGGUGGCGAAGGCGGCAUCCUGGACCGGCAUUGACGCUGAGGCGCGAAAGCCAGGGGAGCAAACGGG
rnacentral:rRNA from 1 species